rnacentral:sRNA from 1 species
GUGCUCUGCUGGCUCAGCCUGGUGUGGACCCACCUCCCGGGCGCUGGCUGCAAUGACUUUCUCUUUCCCUUUGCAAUUGCCUUGGGUCCUGCCGCACAGAGCGGCCUGUCUUUAUCAGAGGUCCCUCUGCCAGGGGGAGGGCCCCAGAGAAAACCAGAAAGAGAAAACACAGUGGAGCGAAUGUAUCGAGGCACAUUCUUCUACAACUUUAAUAAUAGACCCAUCAUUUCUCGUCGGAAUACCGUCUGGCUGUGCUACGAAGUGAAAACAAAGGGUCCCUCAAGGCCCCGUUUGGACACAAAGAUCUUUCGAGGCCAGGUGUAUUUCGAGCCUCAGUACCACGCAGAAAUGUGCUUCCUCUCUUGGUUCUGUGGCAACCAGCUGCCUGCUUACAAGUGCUUCCAGAUCACCUGGUUUGUAUCCUGGACACCCUGCCCGGACUGUGUGGCGAAGCUGGCCGAAUUCCUGGCUGAGCACCCCAAUGUCACCCUGACCAUCUCCGCUGCCCGCCUCUACUACUACUGGGAAAGAGAUUACCGAAGGGCGCUCUGCAGGCUGCGUCAGGCAGGG